rnacentral:rRNA from 1 species
AGUGAAUGCUGGCGGUAGGCCUAACACAUGCAAGUCGAACGGCAGCACAGUAAGAGCUUGCUCUUACGGGUGGCGAGUGGCGGACGGGUGAGGAAUACAUCGGAAUCUACUUUUUCGUGGGGGAUAACGUAGGGAAACUUACGCUAAUACCGCAUACGACCUACGGGUGAAAGCAGGGGAUCUUCGGACCUUGCGCGAUUGAAUGAGCCGAUGUCGGAUUAGCUAGUUGGCGGGGUAAAGGCCCACCAAGGCGACGAUCCGUAGCUGGUCUGAGAGGAUGAUCAGCCACACUGGAACUGAGACACGGUCCAGACUCCUACGGGAGGCAGCAGUGGGGAGUAUUGGACAAUGGGCGCAAGCCUGAUCCAGCCAUACCGCGUGGGUGAAGAAGGCCUUCGGGUUGUAAAGCCCUUUUGUUGGGAAAGAAAAGCAGCAGGUUAAUACCCCGCUGUUCUGACGGUACCCAAAGAAUAAGCACCGGCUAACUUCGUG